AUUGAACGCUGGCGGCGUGCUUAACACAUGCAAGUCGAACGUGAUUCAUCCUUCGGGGUGAUGAAAGUGGCGCACGGGUGAGUAACACGUGGAUAAUCUGCCUGGUGAUUUGGGAUGACACUUCGAAAGGGGUGCUAAUACCGAAUAAGCCCACGGACUCUUCGGAGUUAGCGGGAAAAGGGGGCCUCUGCAUAUGCUCCUGUCACAAGAUGAGUCCGCGGCCCAUUAGCUAGUUGGUAGGGUAAUGGCCUACCAAGGCGACGAUGGGUAGCUGGUCUGAGAGGAUGAUCAACCACACUGGAACUGAGACACGGUCCAGACUCCUACGGGAGGCAGCAGUGGGGAAUUUUGGACAAUGGGCGAAAGCCUGAUCCAGCCAUGCCGCGUGUGUGAAGAAGGUCUUCGGAUUGUAAAGCACUUUAAGUCGGGAGGAAGGGCUGUAGGCUAAUACCUUGCAGUUUUGACGUUACCGACAGAAUAAGCACCGGCUAACUUCGUGCCAGCCGCCGCGGUAA
rnacentral:rRNA from 1 species